GGGCUUGACAUCCCACGAAUCUCUUCGAAAGACGGGAGUGCCCGCAAGGGAGCGCGGAGACAGGUGGUGCAUGGCUGUCGUCAGCUCGUGUCGUGAGAUGUUGGGUUAAGUCCCGCAACGAGCGCAACCCUCACCUCUUGUUGCCACCAGGUCAUGCUGGGCACUCUAGAGGAACUGCCCCGGUCAACGGGGAGGAAGGCGGGGAUGACGUCAAGUCAUCAUGCCCCUUACGUCCUGGGCUACACACGUGCUACAAUGGCCGGUACAAAGGGAUGCCACACCGCGAGGUAGAGCUAAACCCAAAAAGCCGGUCUAAGUUCAGAUUGGAGUCUGCAACUCGACUCCAUGAAGGAGGAAUCGCUAGUAAUCGCGUAUCAGCACGACGCGGUGAAUACGUUCCCGGGCCUUGUACACACCGCCCGUCACACCACGAAAGCCCGUUGUACUCGAAGUCGCUGAG
rnacentral:rRNA from 1 species